rnacentral:rRNA from 1 species
UAAGCGGAGGAAAAGAAACUAACAAGGAUUCCCCUAGUAGCGGCGAGCGAAGCGGGAAGAGCUCAAAUUUAUAAUCUGGCACCUUCGGUGUCCGAGUUGUAAUCUCUAGAAGUGUUUUCCGCGUUGGACCGCACACAAGUCUGUUGGAAUACAGCGGCAUAGUGGUGAAACCCCCGUAUAUGGUGCGGACGCCCAGCGCUUUGUGAUACACUUUCAAUGAGUCGAGUUGUUUGGGAAUGCAGCUCAAAUUGGGUGGUAAAUUCCAUCUAAAGCUAAAUAUUGGCGAGAGACCGAUAGCGAACAAGUACCGUGAGGGAAAGAUGAAAAGCACUUUGGAAAGAGAGUUAACAGUACGUGAAAUUGUUGGAAGGGAAACGCUUGAAGUCAGACUUGCUUGCCGGAGCUUGCUUCGGUUUGCAGGCCAGCAUCAGUUUUCCGGGGUGGAUAAUGACGGUUUGAAGGUAGCAGUCUCGGCUGUGUUAUAGCUUUCCGUUGGAUACAUCCUGGGGGACUGAGGAACGCAGCGUGCUUUUUGCGAAAGACUCGUCU